rnacentral:sRNA from 12 species
AGAGUUUGUAUUUUAAUUAAGCACCUCGGUUAUAAAACUCAAUGCCAUGAGUCCGAGAAGCACUCUAGUCACAUAUGACAAAUUAGAGAAGUGCAUUUGACGGAUACGUUUCUUGUACUUCUUUUUAUAAUGAAGUGAUUUAUUAUGAACAAGAGAAAACUUCUCAAGUAAGUGGGUGCUGUGCAACAUUAUAAUCUGGUUAAUGCACGAAACUUUUCGCUGGCGCAAUAGACGCUCCUGUGGAGAAUAAUCUACUUCAAUGCAUAGUGUGGCAGCUGUGUAGAAGGUAGAAAGCCAAACAAGUCAGUUUGAUAUGAAACUGUUUAAAAGACAGUGUAUAAGAAAAGUCGUCGGUACGUCGCUCAAGUCAGUGUAGGUAUAAAAAAGAAUGUAUGCUAAUAGAGUAUAUGAUAACAAAACUUAAUUCUGAAUGGUGGGUUGAUGUUACAUGUAUUGAUCAUGUCGCAGAUUUUGGUCUUUGAGACUCUGGUGAGAAGUUAGAGGUAGCUCCUCGAAGCUCAGACUCAUCAGCUGUGUUGCAGAAUAAACUAUUUUAUUAAUGAUUGUAGGAUGAAGAUCCGCUUUAAAAUUAAAAUA